UACGUAGGGGGCUAGCGUUGUCCGGAAUCAUUGGGCGUAAAGAGCGUGUAGGCGGCCAGACAGGUCCGUUGUGAAAACUCGAGGCUCAACCUCGAGACGCCGAUGGAAACCGUCUGGCUAGAGUCCGGAAGAGGAGAGUGGAAUUCCUGGUGUAGCGGUGAAAUGCGCAGAUAUCAGGAAGAACACCCGUGGCUAAGGCGGCUCACUGGCCCGGUACUGACGCUGAGGUGCGAAAGCGUGGGGAGCAAACAGG
rnacentral:rRNA from 1 species